AACAGCAAAAAAAGUGAUGUAGUCUUAUUGGUGCUAAAGGGCCCAAGGUUAAGAACCCAUGUUUUGUUUAUUGUAUUGUAUCUGCUGGCUUCUAUGAAUCCUCCUGUUGUAAUUUCUGUAACCUUCCAAUCCUGAACAGUCAAGAAGCAGAACUAAUCUACUGCAGAGAUUUACUGCAGCCAGCCAACUACCAUUCUCACCCAUCUCUCUCUUUGCAGAACCCCAGAAUGCCAGCUACCUCAUCAGGAAGAGCAAAUGCUGCAUCAGAGCUUCCGAAUCUUUCAAGUCUGUCCCAUAGUAUCUGAAGCAAAGUGCUGAUGUAGUCAAUACUCUCUCAAAGGAGUAGCCUUUUUAAAAAACACAGUCUGUACAACAGUAUGCUCAGUAUUUAUAGUCUGUUUUCCUCCUCUCAUUGCCCUGAGUCACACCUUAAAAAAAA